CUGAGGAAGCUCAGUUGUUUAGCAAACGGUCUAAUUAAUGCGACCGUGUUGUGGAGUUAGACCCUUUUCCUUCUCUUAGCUGGAAUUAGCUGGGGAUUUGAUGCAAGCCAGGCUCCAGCUGAGUUGAGUCUGACCAAAGGAGGUGAAGGACUGCAGUUCCUACAGGGGGAGCCAGAGAGCACACGAGGAAAAGAGGAAUUACCUGGGCCAACAGGGAGGCUUUCCUUCAUCAUCCUUCAUUAGACGAGCGCCAGUCCAAGCCAAACCGCUUCAAGCCGAAGCAAAGAUUCCAAAACAUCGUUGUGUUGUGGGC